UGAACAUUUACACUGCUCUUCCAGACAUGAACAGUUUAGACGCAGGAGACACAGAGGUUAUUAGAUGGCCUUUAUUAAGGGACGGCUGCUGCUGAGAGUUGUCCUCGGUGUAAUGAUGCAACUGAGGGACAUACGGGACAAUACAACAGACCCAAAUGUGGGUUAGUCUGGAUGUGUGGGUGUGUACCAUGCGUGCAGAGAAAAUCCCGUCCUGCACCAUUCGUGUGGUUAAAAGCUCCUGCCAAACCCCACUCCUGAAGUCAUGUCAGCAGCUGAGAGGAAUUUUGAUGCUGGGAACAAGAAGCAUCUCACCAACAAACCAUCACCAACAAAGGAAUUUAUAACUCAUGGGAAUCUGGAGCAGAGCUGGUAAACCAUGUGAAAUUGUUUCCCUAUAAGGUUAUCUAUCUUGUCCUUAUCAACGCUCCCCCUGUCAUGGGGACACAAUUGAUCCCUUGUGUGGGGUUUGCAUUUUUGUUAUUCACCCAGCGUUCGUGAGUCUGGUGGACCCGCUACUUGAUUCGUCUUGGAAAAUACAUUCAUAUCACGUUAUGCAGAAAUACUCACAAAUCAUAUCUCUACUUAUCUCUUUUACAAACAGUACAAGCAUAACAUGUUGUUAAUAUUUGCAUAUUCUAUAUAUGGUAAUUCGUUUCUCGUAAAUCCUUUGAAAUGAAGACUAUGAUGGUACAAAUCACACUUGAGCAAACAUAAAUAAAACACGGUUUCAUGACAAUUUAAUUUAUUCAGAUGUCAGAAAAACUUCAGUAGGUCAGUUCUGCAUACAAAGCUUUUAAUGUGAAUGAUAAAUAAGCCAUGUUAAAUACACGUACAAGCAUUUUACACACCACAUGAGGGACAUAUUUUACCGACGUGUGUGUUGCAAAAGUACACCUUGCACUUUUUUCACGUGUUAUUGCCAGUCUGCCUCCCUUCUGCCGAACUGGCCAAGUGUCACAGUUAUCAAAUCGCAAACAUAAUAUAUAUAAAUGUUGUGGAACUUUUCCAUGGACAUUGUUGCACAGAAAAAAGCCUGCAUGUAAGUCUGGUCCAACUUCUUUUACCUCCCUCCAAAAAACUCAUCUUCUCUCCCGAUUAUUUGCUAUUUUAACCAAUCAUGUUGGGCCUGAUUUCAUCCUUAUCACACCAGAAGCCAUUUUUGGUAGCUCAUUCCUAGAAUGAGGGCAUCAUUCGAUUUCAACAUUUUCGGACAUCAAACUUUCUAGUAGGGCGCAGAUGAGCUGGUGCAGGGAAGAUUUGUUAGGCAAAGUCAUCAUCAUCUUCAAAUUCAACUGCCAAAACCUGAGCUGAUCAAGACAUGAUCCUCGUGUUCAGAAAGUUCUUCAUCUUUCAAAUGGGGAG